rnacentral:rRNA from 1 species
CCUAGGGCGGCAGCAGUGAGGAAUAUUGGUCAAUGGACGAGAGUCUGAACCAGCCAAGUAGCGUGAAGGAUGACUGCCCUAUGGGUUGUAAACUUCUUUUAUAUGGGAAUAAAAUGUUCCACGUGUGGGAUUUUGUAUGUACCAUAUGAAUAAGGAUCGGCUAACUCCGUGCCAGCAGCCGCGGUAAUACGGAGGAUCCGAGCGUUAUCCGGAUUUAUUGGGUUUAAAGGGAGCGUAGGUGGAUUGUUAAGUCAGUUGUGAAAGUUUGCGGCUCAACCGUAAAAUUGCAGUUGAAACUGGCAGUCUUGAGUACAGUAGAGGUGGGCGGAAUUCGUGGUGUAGCGGUGAAAUGCUUAGAUAUCACGAAGAACUCCGAUUGCGAAGGCAGUUCACUGGACUGCAACUGACACUGAGGCACGAAAGCGUGGGGAUCGAACAGGAUUAGAUACCCCUGUAGUC